CAGCAGGAGGAAGAGGAGGAGAGCGACGAGGAAGAGGAGGAGGCGAUGGAGUGUGGGACACCCCCGCCCCCCUCGGACGGCUGGACCGUGGUGCAGCGGCGGCGGCGGCGAUGAUGGGGGGAGGGGUGUCCUGUGUGUCCCCCCCCCAGUUUGGGGGACACCCCUCCCCCACCCUGCUCCCCAAACUGGGGGGGAAUAAAAGCCCCUCCCCCCAUGGGGGUGUGGGAAGA